CGAAUCCGCACCCGGGAAUAUCAACAUGAAAAUACAUCUUUUUUUUUCUUCUUCAAUUUGGUUUGUUGUGGUGUUUAUGCAAAAACUCUACGAAUUUGAGUAAUUGAAAUCUUGUAUUGUUGGUAAAGAUGGAUUUGGUAGAGGAAGUAGAGAUUAGUUCAAUGGUGGAGGCUCUCAAAGUGGAGGUUUUGAGCAAAUAAGGGAGAUGAAAGAUGGGAAAGGAAGAGUCCGGAGAGAAAAAAUGUUUAUGUAUAAUAAAUAAUCAAGAGAGUUUAGAUUAUGAAAAAACUAAACUCCCUAGCAUAGAUAUAUCCUUCCUAGAUUAUUUGAAUGACAUAUUAGUCUAAUAGAGAGCUCAAAGAGUGUACCUUUGUCAUCACUCAUCAUGCCACUUCGGUUUUUCUGUUGAACAAAAGUACCAUAUGCGUUUUCUAUUAUAUCAAAUUUAAUCUUAAAUAUGCA
rnacentral:lncRNA from 1 species